rnacentral:rRNA from 1 species
AGCUACCCAGCAAUGGGAUGCGAAUCUCGAAAGCCUGUCUCAGUUCGGAUUGGAGGCUGAAACCCGCCUCCAUGGAGUUGGAUUCGCUAGUAAUCGCGCAUCAGCCAUGGCGCGGUGAAUACGUUCCCGGGCCUUGUACACACCGCCCGUCAAGCCAUGGGAGCCGGGGGUGCCUGAAGUUCGUGACCGCAAGGAGCGACCUAGGGCAAAACUGGUGACUGGGGCUAAGUCGUAACAAGGUACC